UACGUAGGUGGCGAGCGUUGUCCGGAUUUACUGGGCGUAAAGGGUGCGUAGGCGGAUGUUUAAGUGGGAUGUGAAAUCCCCGGGCUUAACCUGGGGGCUGCAUUCCAAACUGGAUAUCUAGAGUGCAGGAGAGGAAAGCGGAAUUCCUAGUGUAGCGGUGAAAUGCGUAGAGAUUAGGAAGAACACCAGUGGCGAAGGCGGCUUUCUGGACUGUAACUGACGCUGAGGCA
rnacentral:rRNA from 1 species